UAAGUGCCCUGGAACGGGCCGUCAUAGAGGGUGAGAAUCCCGUCUGGGAUGGGGUGCCCGCGCCCGUGUGAAGCUCCUUCGACGAGUCGAGUUGUUUGGGAAUGCAGCUCUAAAUGGGUGGUAAAUUUCAUCUAAAGCUAAAUACUGGCCGGAGACCGAUAGCGCACAAGUAGAGUGAUCGAAAGAUGAAAAGCACUUUGAAAAAAAAGUUAAACCGCCCCUGAAAUUUGUGAAAAGGAAACCCUUGGGAACCAAAUUCCCCCCCGGGGUUCACCCGGCUUUCUGGCCGUUGUCUUUCCCCGGGGGGGGGCCACCGUCGGUUUGGGGGGGGGGUCAAAGGCCUUGGAAAGGAACCCCCCCCGGGGGGGUUUUAUUACCCAAGGGGGCCUUGCGGCCAGCCCGGACCAAGAAAGNCCUUUCUGCUCGAAUGCUGCAUAAAGGUUCAAAAA
rnacentral:rRNA from 1 species